rnacentral:rRNA from 1 species
CCCUUAGAUGUCCUGGGCCGCACGCGCGCUACACUGAUGCAUUCAACGAGCCUAUCCUUGACCGACAGGUCCGGGUAAUCUUUGAAUCUGCAUCGUGACGGGGAUAGAUUAUUGCAAUUAUUAAUCUUCAACGAGGAAUGCCUAGUAGGCGCAAGUCAUCAGCUUGCGUCGAUUACGUCCCUGCCCUUUGUACACACCGCCCGUCGCUCCUACCGAUUGGGUGUGCUGGUGAAAUGUUCGGAUCGGCCGUUUGUCGCGGUUUCCGCGUCAUGUGGCUGAGAAGUUCAUUAAACCCUCCCACCGAGAGGAAGGAGAAGUCGUAACA